GACGAACGCUGGCGGCGUGCUUAACACAUGCAAGUCGAACGGAAAGGCCCCUUUGGGGGUACUCGAGUGGCGCACGGGUGCGUAACACGUGAGUAACCUGCCCUUGACUUCGGGAUAACUUCAGGAAACUGGGGCUAAUACCGGAUAGGAAUCCUUGCUGCAUGGUGGGGGUUGGAAAGCUUCGGCGGUUUUGGCUGGACUCGCGGCUUAUCAGCUUGUUGGUGGGGUAGUGGCUUACCAAGGCUUUGACGGGUAGCCGGCCUGAGAGGGCGACCGGCCACAUUGGGACUGAGAUACGGCCCAGACUCCUACGGGAGGCAGCAGUGGGGAAUAUUGCACAAUGGGCGGAAGCCUGAUGCAGCAACGCCGCGGGCGGGAUGACGGCCUUCGGGUUGUAAACCGCUUUCAGCAGGGGCGAAGCUUGUGGUGACGGUACCUGCAGAAGAAGCACCGGCUAACUACGUG
rnacentral:rRNA from 1 species